UUAUAUUUGAGAGUUUGAUCCUGGCUCAGGAUGAACGCUGGCGGCGUGCCUAACACAUGCAAGUCGAGCGAUCUCUUCGGAGAGAGCGGCGGACGGGUGAGUAACGCGUGGGUAACCUGCCCUGUACACACGGAUAACAUACCGAAAGGUAUACUAAUACGGGAUAAUAUAUGAAAGUCGCAUGGCUUUUGUAUCAAAGCUCCGGCGGUACAGGAUGGACCCGCGUCUGAUUAGCUAGUUGGUAAGGUAAUGG
rnacentral:rRNA from 1 species